rnacentral:rRNA from 1 species
GUCCAGACUCCUACGGGAGGCAGCAGUGGGGAAUAUUGCACAAUGGGGGAAACCCUGAUGCAGCGACGCCGCGUGAGUGAAGAAGUAUUUCGGUAUGUAAAGCUCUAUCAGCAGGAACGAGACAAGACGGUACCUGACUAAGAAGCCCCGGCUAACUACGUGCCAGCAGCCGCGGUAAUACGUAGGGGGCAAGCGUUAUCCGGAAUCACUGGGUGUAAAGGGAGCGUAGACGGCUGUGCAAGCCUGAAGUGAAAGGCGGGGGCUUAACCCCGGAACUGCUUUGGAAACUGUGCAGCUAGAGUGCAGGAGAGGUAAGUGGAAUUCCUAGUGUAGCGGUGAAAUGCGUAGAUAUUAGGAGGAACACCAGUGGCGAAGGCGGCUUACUGGACUGUAACUGACGUUGAGGCUCGAAAGCGUGGGGAGCGAACAGGAUUAGAUACCCCCGUAGUG